rnacentral:rRNA from 1 species
UACGUAGGGAGCAAGCGUUGUCCGGAAUCAUUGGGCGUAAAGCGCGUGUAGGCGGCUUGAUAAGUCUGCUCUGAAAGCCCGGGGCUCAACCCUGGGAGGCGGGUGGAUACUGUCGAGCUCGAGUCCGGAAGAGGCGAGUGGAAUUCCCGGUGUAGCGGUGAAAUGCGCAGAUAUCGGGAGGAACGACCGGUGGCGAAGGCGGUUCUCUGGGCCUUACCUGGACGCUGAGGAGCGAAAGCGUGGGGAGCGA